AGGUAAGGGUGAAACGGUGAGGUAAGAGCUCACCAGGCCCGCCGGUGACGGCGGGUGCUCUGUAAACCCCACCCGGAGCAAGGCCGAAUAGGGGGACGGGUGGCCCGCCCUAUGUCCCCGGGUUAGGCCGCUCGAGCCACCGGGCAACCGGUGGCCUAGACGAAUGGCUGCCACGCGCCUGCCGCCCAGCGGCCGGCGCGUACAGAAUCCGGCUUACAGGCCGACUCGGGCC
rnacentral:RNase_P_RNA from 1 species